GAACUCGAGUUAAGCACAGUAUUUUUACCAAGUACUGUAAUUAGUCCCGUCAAAUCACAUCCUAAAAUGCACUUUUCGUCGAUAUUUGCGAAAAUCUUGCUUCAAUCAAUUUUGGAAAUCGCAUAAUCAAAUACUCACUUCGACAAUUUAAAGACUUUUAAAGACUUUCUUCACUUUUUCACACAAUUCAAAGACUUCCAAAUUUAAAGACUUUCAAGGAUUUCAAAGACCGCUACGAACCCUGUUGUGAAUGUAUCUUGUUGACAAGUUCUGAGAUUAUUAUGUGUACAUGUACGGGGCAGUUUAAACUUGAAAUGUUCGCGUUCUUUUCAGCUUGUCAGGCGACAGACUACGCGAGCGGUUACCAAGCCUAUACCAACCUAAUAUCUAGUGGCAGUUUUUCCGAGAUAAGUUCAUUCAUGCCAGGAAUUAAAUCUUUAAUGCAAGUUGCAACACAAUUGAGAGUAUGAGACCUCGUUCUAGGUUAAUAUGAAUUUAUUUGAAUUAUUGAAAGUAUUUUAUUAUAUUUGGAAAUAACUAAGAUUGAUGUAUUCAUGCGAUGAGUAAUAAAAAUCUCCAUAGAUAUAUGAUGUGUUUUUUUCAUUUGCUAUUUUCGCCCGGCCUUGAAAACGAAAGGGUUCAAUGUUAUCAAUAUACCGUAAACCUCCGACUAUACACCCUUUUCAUAAAUGGCUGCCGAUUAAAAAUUUUUUUAUGUGCAUAUAAAUUGGCCCAACUAGCCUCGUACUCAUGUUAAGAUUUCAAAGGAAUUUC